UUCAUGGGUUUUGGCCAAUAUCUCGACCACUUUUGCUCCAAACCUUGGCCAUUUGACCCAAACGUGGCCCCCACUGACCUAAAUCUCAACGGCUUUUGCCACAAAUAUCCUCCCCUUGUCCCAAAUCUCACCCACUUGACCAAAACCUCAACCAGUUUUGCCCCAAACCCCCACCGUUCUCCUCUCAUCUCCAUCCAUUUCGCCACAACCCUUCACUCUCUGCACCAAACCAGAGCCUUCAACGGACCCCCAAACUCUACCCUGAGCCAUGGACCCUGUCCCAGGACAUGUCCUGCCAGGGCUCCGGCUUCACCUUCAGCAGUGUCAGCAUGGACUGGGUGCGACAGGCGCCCGGGAAGGGGCUGGAGUUUGUCGCGAGUAUUAACAGCGGUGGUAGUUACACAGAAUACGCGCCGUCGGUCAAGGGGCGCUUCACCAUCUCCAGGGACAACUCCCAGAGCACGGUCACGCUGCAGAUGAACAGCCUCCGGGACGACGACACGGCCACCUACUACUGCGCAAAAAGUUAUGCUGGUGGUUGUUAUUAUGGUGGUGGCACCAACCCCGACACCGUGUCCCAACUUCCCUGUGUUGGGUCCCCGAUCGACCGAUUUCGCCCCAAAUCUCAACCAUUAUCAUCAAACUCUGACCGAUUUCUCACCAGACCUCCGUGGUUUGACCCAACUCUUGACCAUUCGCCACAAACCUUGACCAUUUGCACCAAACCUUGA